GGAAUCUUGCGCAAUGGGGGAAACCCUGACGCAGCAACGCCGUGUGAGUGACGAAGGCUUUCGGGUCGUAAAGCUCUGUCAGAUGGGAAGAAUUAGUUUGCUGAAAAUAUCGGCAAAUGAUGACGGUACCAUCAAAGGAAGCACCGGCUAACUCCGUGCCAGCAGCCGCGGUAAUACGGAGGGUGCAAGCGUUGUUCGGAAUUAUUGGGCGUAAAGCGCGUGUAGGCGGAUAGAUAAGUCAGGCGUGAAAUCCCUUGACUCAAUCAAGGAACUGCACUUGAAACUAUUUAUCUCGAGUACGAUAGGGGAGGGUGGAAUUCCCAGUGUAGAGGUGAAAUUCAUAGAUAUUGGGAGGAACACCAGUGGCGAAGGCGACCCUCUGGAUCGAUACUGACGCUGAGACGCGAAAGCGUGGGUAGCAAACAGGAUUAGA
rnacentral:rRNA from 1 species